UACAGAGGUCUCAAGCGUUGUUCGGAUUCAUUGGGCGUAAAGGGUGCAUAGGCGGCUAGGCAAGUCUGGUGUGAAAUCCCGGGGCUCAACCCCGGAACUGCACUGGAUACUGCUUUGCUAGAGUACUGGAGAGGGAACUGGAAUUUACGGUGUAGCAGUGAAAUGCGUAGAUAUCGUAAGGAAGACCAGCGGCGAAGGCGAGUUCCUGGACAGUUACUGACGCUGAGGCACGAAGGCCAGGGGAGCAAACGGG
rnacentral:rRNA from 1 species